rnacentral:sRNA from 1 species
UUGACUCUCAAAUGAUAAUGGUUAUUAUUACAACAACUGGCUGCGAGGCCAGUUGGAUAAGCUAGAGAGACCACGCAGUCGGACUCUUCAGAUUAUCUCCUCAUCAGGCUAAUCACGGUUUUAGACCCGGCACUUUGCCGGGUCUUUUUUUG